GAGGCUGCUGGGAACUCACCGAGGCCGGGGACAGCUCUGCCUCAGGCUUCAUGAGCAGCACACUUUGGUCCACGGCCCGGAGGGCGCAGAGGGACUGAGGAGAAGCUGUGACUCGCAGGGGAAUGAAGUGAACGGCUCUUGACUGGAUGUGUUUUAAGGGCAGCACAAUGUGAUUGAAAGGCACUGAUUGAAGCAGUAAAAAGUGGAAUGGUGGUUGCCAGGGGCUGGGGAGAGGGGAAAACAGUGGGCAUUAAUCAAAGGGUACAAAGUUUCAGUUAUAUAAGAUGAAUAAGUCCUAGAGAUCUGCCGUACAGCAUAUAGCCUUUAGUUAACUACACUGUAUUGUAUACUUAAUAAUUUGCUAAAAGGAUAGAUCUUGUGUUUUUAUCACACACACAAAAAAUAAUAAAUAAAGAGGAUGGGACUUAAAAAAAAGUGCACAAAUCAAGAAUUGGGGGACCUGGAUCCUAGUUCUGGUCUUGCCAUUAAAUUAUUUUAUGACUUUGCAA